UCCCUCUUAGCUCAGUUGGUAGAGCGCGUCACUAGUAUUUGGUGAAUGACGAGGUCAGUCGUUCAAAUCGGCUAGCGGGAA